rnacentral:rRNA from 1 species
UGGGGGAUAUUGCACAAUGGAGGAAACUCUGAUGCAGCAACGCCGCGUGAGGGAAGAAGGUUUUCGGAUUGUAAACCUCUGUCCUAGUUGAAGAAAAAAAUGACGGUAAACUAGGAGGAAGCUCCGGCUAACUACGUGCCAGCAGCCGCGGUAAUACGUAGGGAGCAAGCGUUGUCCGGAAUUACUGGGUGUAAAGGGUGCGUAGGCGGGUUUGCAAGUCAGGCGUGAAAACUACAGGCUUAACCUGUAGACUGCGUUUGAAACUGUGAAUCUUGAGUGAAGUAGAGGUAAGUGGAAUUCCCGGUGUAGCGGUGAAAUGCGUAGAGAUCGGGAGGAACACCAGUGGCGAAGGCGACUUACUGGGCUUUAACUGACGCUGAGGCACGAAAGCAUGGGUAGCAAACAGG